rnacentral:rRNA from 1 species
AUUGAACGCUGGCGGCAUGCCUUACGCAUGCAAGUCGAGCGGUAAUAGGUCUUCGGAUGCUGACGAGUGGCGAAUGGGUGAGUAAUGCAUCGGAACGUGCCUAGUAGUGGGGGAUAACUACUGGAAAGUGUGGCUAAUACCGGAUGAGGUAGACGGAUGAAAGCAGGGCAUCGCAAGACCUUGUGCUCGUAGGACGGACGAUGGCAGAUUAGGUAGUUGGUGGGAUAAAAGCUUACCAAGCCGACGAUCUGUAGCUGGUCUGAGAGGACGAUCAGCCACACUGGGACUGGGACACGGACCAAACUCCUACGGGAGGCAGCAGUGGGGAAUUUUGGACAAUGGGCGCAAGCCUGAUUCAGCAAUGCCGCGUGCAGGAUGAAGGCCUUCGGGUUGUAAACUGCUUUUGUACGGAACGAAAAGCCCCGGGUUAAUACCCUGGGGUCAUGACGGUACCGUAAGAAUAAGCACCGGCUAGCUACGUGCCAGCAGCCGCGGUAA